rnacentral:rRNA from 1 species
CGUGAACGCUGGCGGUAGGCCUAAUACAUGCAAGUCGAACGGCAGCACAGUAAGAGCUUGCUCUUACGGGUGGCGAGUGGCGGACGGGUGAGGAAUACAUCGGAAUCUACUUUUUCGUGGGGGAUAACGUAGGGAAACUUACGCUAAUACCGCAUACGACCUACGGGUGAAAGCAGGGGAUCUUCGGACCUUGCGCGAUUGAAUGAGCCGAUGUCGGAUUAGCUAGUUGGCGGGGUAAAGGCCCACCAAGGCGACGAUCCGUAGCUGGUCUGAGAGGAUGAUCAGCCACACUGGAACUGAGACACGGUCCAGACUCCUACGGGAGGCAGCAGUGGGGAAUAUUGGACAAUGGGCGCAAGCCUGAUCCAGCCAUACCGCGUGGGUGAAGAAGGCCUUCGGGUUGUAAAGCCCUUUUGUUGGGAAAGAAAAGCAGCAGGUUAAUACCCCGCUGUUCUGACGGUACCCAAAGAAUAAGCACCGGCUAACUUCGUG